rnacentral:rRNA from 1 species
CACGUAGGGUGCGAGCGUUGUCCGGAAUUAUUGGGCGUAAAGAGCUCGUAGGCGGUGUGUCGCGUCGGCCGUGAAAACCUGCAGCUUAACUGUGGGCUUGCGGUCGAUACGGGCAUCACUGGAGUUCGGCAGGGGAGACUGGAAUUCCUGGUGUAUCGGUGAAAUGCGCAGAUAUCAGGAGGAACACCGGUGGCGAAGGCGGGUCUCUGGGCCGAUACUGACGCUGAGGCGCGAAAGCCAGGGGAGCAAACGGG